rnacentral:lncRNA from 1 species
GGGAGGAGAAAGGGAGGAAAGGGAGUAGAGAAGGCCACACACAAUCUUAAAUUCAAUAUUUCACUCCCGUUAAAGAUAAGCUGUUUAUAAGCUCCAGUGUAGGGCAUGUAAUUCUAUGUAAAAACUCUGUGGUUCCUCUUCCCACAUGUAAAUCAUGAUCACUCUACAUUCUGCUCUCUGGGAGCCCUCAAGGCAAAGAGACAACAAGACUCGAGACCACAGAAAGGACUUAUCACAAGUCUUUGUGGUAGCUGAGGAGUGCCCCCUACAGACUGAUAUGCACAAUGCAAGCAGAUGAAGAGGAAAGAACUGAGCAGCAGUAUUUCAGGAUUCUCAAUAAGGCAUCAAUGAAAAAAGGUCAAAACUGUGAUCCCUGCUACUUGGGAGGCUGAGACACAAGAAUUGCUUGAAUCCAGGAGGCGGAGGUUGCAGUGAACCAAGAUCAUGCCACUGAACUCCAGCCUGGGUGACAGAGCAAGAGUCUGUCUCAAAAAAAAAAAAAAGAAAAGAAAAAGAUAUUGCUUAGAAAAGUAACUUGAGUCCUGUUGAGCCUAAGUAAAGGACAAUAAUGGAAGUUUCUAGUCUGCAAAAUAUGAAGAUGCCCCUCAGAGACACAGCUGUGGGUGCCUCUCACAAGACAGAUGUUCAGGAAAACUGGGCUGUUGCUCUGGAAUUUUCAAUGAGUUAUUUUACUUGUUUUUGCCUCAGUUUACAGAAAAUAAACUGGCAACAAUAUCUCCUUGUUAUUGUGAGGAUAAAAUAAAAGGUGUGACAUUUCUAUUUUAAAUGUAUAAAAUGCCGAAAAAUUGGAGGCAACUGGAAGGUACAGUAGUGGAUGUGAGGUAGUAAGGGGGAAAAAAGGAUAUGUAAAUCACCUAAGAUGAAAUAGACAUUCAGAAGGCCGUAACGUGAAGUGUGAGUGACACUGAUUCGCUAAAAAUCCUAUAUAGUGUCUUAAAACAGCAGCAGUAACAACAACAAAGUUUAUUUGAGAGGAGGAAUUCUGGAAAAAAGCUUCUUUCAAAAAAAAAAAAAGAGUCUUCUAGUGCUCAGACAGUUCGUUCCUCUGCAAAGGCGGGUUACUCUGUUGGGGUCCAUUAUAGUUCUGAGGAUGAAUAGGACAGGACAAGGAGAUGGUUCCUGGCCCCUGUUCUCCUGCCACAGAUCUGUCCCACCUCCCAGGCUCCAUGCAUACAGUGACAGAGAUGGAAAGCCCAGAACCAGUCCCUUUAAUGCACUUAUUUGCAAAACAAGAUGUCACUAUGCAGCAGAGUGACAGUCCUUUCCCCUGGAACUGUCCCAGAGUUCUCCAAGCUGAAGCCAGGGCUACAUUCACCAUCUCAGACUCCUGCUGAGCUAAGUAACCACCCUCUCCUACCUUCUCUUCAGGAGCCCUGGCACCCUUGCUCUGGGGAGAGUUUGAAGAGCAACCUGAAAGUUCCCACAGUUUUUCCUCAAAUCUGGGUUUCCAUGAGCAUGGGCCACCAGUCGGGAGAGCCACAUGCCUGCCCUUGCCUGGCUCAAGACUGUCACUCUGUCAGAUUCAUAUCGCUCUCUGACCCUUAGCCUUCCAGUCUGGAUCUUGACCUUGAACUGGACUCUGUAGGAAGUUCUUAACAUUAAAGGAAGUUAUUUAUCUCUUUUCAACUAACCCAAGCACUUUCUAGCACCUUUUAGCAGUUUAAGCUCUAUGACUCCAUUGGAUAAAAUGCUGGGGAGCAGGACAUUGACACAGUCACAGAAUAUCACACACGGAAUCCUCAUUCAUUCCCCCAGGGAAACAGCACCUGUAGAAGACAAAUCUGGUAGACACUACUGUGACAGGUGAUUUUAUAUGUCAGCUUGACUAGGCCACAGGAUGUGUAGACAUUUGUCAAAUUUUUUUUUAUAUGUCUGUGAGGAUGUUUCUGGAUGAGAUUAACAUUGAAUCAGUAGACUGAGUAAAGAAGACCGCCCUCCCCAGUGGGGGUGUCCCUCAUCCAACCUGUGGAAGCCCUACAUAGAACAAAAAGGCUGAACCUCCCCCAAAAUACGGUGAUCUCAAGCUGCCUGACUUCUGGUGCUGGAACAUUGUUCUUUUUCUGCCUUCCGACUCAAACUGAAAAUCAGCUCAUCUUGUAUCCUGAGUCUGCUGGCUUCCAGACUGAACUAUACAUUGACUCUCCCAGGUUUCCAGCUUGCAACUGCUGGUCUUGGGACUUCUCAGCCUCCAUAAUCAUGCAUUAGCCAAUUUCUAUAUAGAUCUAGAAAUUCAUAUAUAUAUAUGUGUGUGUGUGUGUGUAUGUGUGUGUGUGUGUGUACGCAUAUAUAUACAGUCAUGAAUCACUGAGCAGUGGGCAUACCUUCUGAGAAAUGUGUCAUUAGGCACUGUUAUCAUUGUGUGAACAUCAUAGUGUACUUACACACACCUAGACGGUAUAGCCUACAACACACCUAGGCUAUAUAGUAUAACUUGUUGCUGGUAGAUUACAAACCUGUACAACCUGUUACUGUACUGAAUACUGUAGGCAAUUGUAAAACAAUGGUAAGUAUUUGUGUAUCUAAACAUAGCUAACCAUAGAAAAGGUACAGUAAAAAUACUGUAUAAGAGAUAAAACAUGGUGUGCCUGUAUAGGUUGCUUACCAUAAAUAAAGCUUGCAGGUUGGAAGUUACUCUGGGUGAGUCAGUGAGUAAAUGAUGAGUGAAUGUGAGGCCCUUGGACAUCACUGUACCCUACUGUAGACUUUAUAAACACUGUACACUUAGGUUACCCUAAAUCUAUUUUAAAAUUGUUUUCUUUCUUCAAUAAUAAAUUACCCUUAGCUUACUGU